rnacentral:rRNA from 1 species
UACGUAGGGGGCUAGCGUUGUCCGGAUUUAUUGGGCGUAAAGAGCGUGUAGGCGGCCAGGUAGGUCUGCUGUGAAAACUCGAGGCUCAACCUCGAGACGUCGGCGGAAACCAUCUGGCUAGAGUCCGGGAGAGGAGAGUGGAAUUCCUGGUGUAGCGGUGAAAUGCGCAGAUAUCAGGAAGAACACCCGUGGCGAAGGCGGCUCUCUGGGACGGUACUGACGCUGAGACGCGAAAGCGUGGGGAGCGAACAGG